AACGAACGCUGGCGGCGUGCUUAAGACAUGCAAGUCGUGCGAGAAAGGAACCUUCGGGUUCCAAGUACAGCGGCGCACGGGUGAGUAACGCGUGGGUAAUCUGCCUUUGGGUCUGGGAUAACCUCGGGAAACUGGGGCUAAUACCGGAUAAGACCACAGGGUCCUCGGGCCUGGCGGAAAAAGGUGGCCUCUCCUUGGAAGCUACCGCCCGGAGAUGAGCCCGCGUCCCAUUAGCUUGUUGGUGAGGUAAGAGCUCACCAAGGCAUCGACGGGUAGCUGGUCUGAGAGGACGAUCAGCCACACUGGGACUGAGACACGGCCCAGACUCCUACGGGAGGCAGCAGUAGGGAAUCUUGCGCAAUGGGGGAAACCCUGACGCAGCGAUGCCGCGUGGGUGAAGAAGGCUUUCGGGUCGUAAAGCCCUGUCAAGCGGGAAGAACAGCUUUAUGGUGAAUAGCCAUAAGGUGUGACGGUACCGCUGAAGGAAGCACCGGCUAACUCCGUG
rnacentral:rRNA from 1 species